CGUGCUAAGGUAGCAUAAUCAUUUGCCUCUUAAUUGGUGGCUAGUAUGAAUGGACACACGCAAGCGCUGCUGUCUCAUUAAUAUAAAUAAAAAUUAACCUUCAAGUGAAGAGACUUGAAUAAAAUAAAAAGACAAAAAGACCCUAUGGAGCUUUAUUCAACCGCCCUGCAAUCUAAUAUUUAUAAAAUUUACUACAGCGCUAAUGAAUUCAGUUGGGGCGACUAAGGAAAACAAUAAAUCUUCCUUCACAUAAAGAAAAUAAUUCUCUCAAAGAUCCGCUAUGCGAAUACAGAUCCAGCUACCCUAGGGAUAACAGGCUAAUUCUUCUCGAGAGCCCAAAUUGACAGAAGAGAUUGGCACCUCG
rnacentral:rRNA from 1 species